CCUACGGGAGGCAGCAGUAGGGAAUCUUUCACAAUGGGCGAAAGCCUGAUGGAGCAACGCCGCGUGCAGGAUGAAGGCCUUCGGGUUGUAAACUGCUUUUAUAAGCGAGAAAUAUGAUGGUAACUUAUGAAUAAGGAUCGGCUAACUACGUGCCAGCAGCCGCGGUCAUACGUAGGAUCCGAGCAUUAUCCGGAGUGACUGGGUGUAAAGAGUUGCGUAGGUGGCAUAAUAAGUAGCUAGUGAAAUCUGGUGGCUCAACCAUUCAGACUAUUAGCUAAACUGUUAAGCUCGAGACCGUUAGGGGUAACUGGAAUUUCUAGUGUAGGAGUGAAAUCCGUAGAUAUUAGAAGGAACACCAAUAGCGUAGGCAGGUUGCUGGGACGGUUCUGACACUAAGGCACGAAAGCGUGGGGAGCAAACGGGAUUAGAUACCCCAGUAGUC
rnacentral:rRNA from 1 species